AACCUGCCCUAGACAGGGGGAUAACUAUUGGAAACGAUAGCUAAGACCGCAUAGGUACGGACACUGCAUGGUGACCGUAUUAAAAGUGCCUCAAAGCACUGGUAGAGGAUGGACUUAUGGCGCAUUAGCUGGUUGGCGGGGUAACGGCCCACCAAGGCGACGAUGCGUAGCCGACCUGAGAGGGUGACCGGCCACACUGGGACUGAGACACGGCCCAG
rnacentral:rRNA from 1 species